rfam:Picea glauca, whole genome shotgun sequence.
GCACCAAUGAUUUAGUGGUAAAAUAAUACCCUUCCACAGUACAUAAGCAAGUUUGAUUCUUGAUUGGUGCA